GCAAAGGCAAGAUGAGACAACACACAGACCGGCAGCCAGCACACACGCAGCCCAGAGGCAGGGAGGAAGGCAGGGAGCGGGAAGCGGAGAGAAGGGAACCGAACGCCCGAAGAGAAAAUGUUGUAUCUCUGACUCUUGAACAUUAUUUUCUGAUGUCAACCCAGCUAGUAUUGCCGGUCCAAACACCCAAACAUUAAUCACGCAGGACAGACAGACAAGCACCCAGACAAGCUGCUCCCCUCAACCCUGUUCCUUGGGAGGAAGACCCACGGCAAUCAGUGCGCUUUACUUUCAAAUGCUGGUGAUACAGUGACUGUUCCGAAUCGGUGCUCGGACGCAUUAAUGGACUGGAUGAGGAUGAACAAGCUGAGACUUAAUCCAGACAAGGCAGAAGUAUGCUGGUCGGUGGUUCCUCUGCCCGGGUGAAUGAUGUUCAGCCUGUUGUAGAUCAUGGGGCUGCACUCCCUGAAGGACCAGGUUCGCAGUUUGGGGGUUGCUCAUUGAUCCAGCACUGUCAUUAGAGGCUCAAGUGGCCUUUGUGGCUCAGAUCAACUUUUAUCAGCUUUGGCUGAUACGCCAACUGCAACCUUACAUGGACAAAGACAGAUUGGCCACAGUUACUCAUGCUCUGGUAACCUUUUGCUUAGAUUACUGCAAUGCAUUGUACGUGGGGCUUCCUUUGAAAAUGAUUCAGAAACGGCAGCUGGUACAAAAUAGGGCUGCAAGAUUAUUAACUGGUACUGAAUGUUUUGAGCAUAUUACACCAGUGCUUCAUCAGCUGCUCUGGCUCCCAGUCAGUUUUCUGGCCCUAUGGUUUUAACCUUUAAAGCCCUAAAUGGCUUGGGACCGGGUUACCUGAGAGAGCACCUUGCCCCAUAUGUCCCAGGCAGCAGCGGCUCCAAAGGCCUUUAAGUCCAGGCUCCAAAAUUGCCUAGAUGCACCUCUGCUUGUAGUGCACACAAGACAUAUGCACAAAGUUGAUUCUGGGAAUGGUGAAAGAUUUUUAACAUGGAAAACGCAGCCAGAAAGUCUUUGCACAUAGGCAGAAGAGGCAAUUUACUGCACAUGUGCAAUUUGUCUUCUUCCCCCCUAAUAAUACAGUGGAGAGCAGCAAGAUGCAUCCCUGAAGACAGCCAUAGGUGAACUGGACUGGGCAUGUACAUUUCCCUCAUCUAUAAAUGGCAUAUUUAUCUUACGCAUUUCUGUAAAGUGAAAUCCUAAUAACAUAUAUAUUUUAAAACUCUGCUAUAUUAUCAA